rnacentral:rRNA from 1 species
UCUGGUUGAUCCUGCCGGAGGUCAUUGCUAUCGGAGUCCGAUUUAGCCAUGCUAGUCGCACGGGUUCAGCCCCGUGGCGAAUAGCUCCGUAACACGUGGCCAAUCUACCCUACGGACCGGUAUAACCUCGGGAAACUGAGGCUAAUCCCGGAUACUGCUCCCACGCUGGAAUGCCGGGAGCUGGAAACGUUCCGACGCCGUAGGAUGAGGCUGCGGCCGAUUAGGUAGACGGUGGGGUAACGGCCCACCGUGCCAUUAAUCGGUACGGGUUGUGAGAGCAAGAACCCGGAGACGGAAUCUGAGACAAGAUUCCGGGCCCUACGGGGCGCAGCAGGCGCGAAACCUUUACACUGCACGACAGUGCGAUAGGGGGACUCCGAGUGCGGAGGCAUAGUGCCUUCGCUUUUCUGUACCCUAAGGCGGUACAGGAAUAAGAGCUGGGCAAGACCGGUGCCAGCCGCCGCGGUAAUACCGGCAGCUCGAGUGAUGACCGAUCUUAUUGGGCCUAAAGCGUUCGUAGCCGGCCGGGCAAGUUCGUCGGGAAAUCUACCAGCUCAACUGGUAGGCGUCCGGCGAAAACUGCUCGGCUUGGGACAGGGAGACUCAAGGGGUACGUCCGGGGUAGGAGUGAAAUCCCGUAAUCCUGGACGGACCACCGAUGGCGAAAGCACCUUGAGAGAACUGAUCCGACGGUCAGGAACGAAAGCUGGGGUCUCGAACCGGAUUAGAUAUCCGGGNUAGUCCCAGCUGUAAACGAUGUUCGCUAGGUGCGACGCAGACUACGAGUCUGUGUUGUGCCGUAGGGAAGCCGAGAAGCGAACCGCCUGGGAAGUACGUCCGCAAGGAUGAAACUUAAAGGAAUU